rnacentral:rRNA from 1 species
UCAUCGAGUCUUUGAACGCACAUUGCGCCCAUUGGUAUUCCUUUGGGCAUGUCUGUUUGAGCGUCAUUACAACCCUCAGCUAACCCGCUGGUCUUGAGCCGGAGCAGGUAAACCCUGCGCCGGUUUUAAAGUUGUAAGCUCUGCUGGCUGCUCUGCCAAACCAGAACAUAGUAAAACACUACUUGUUGAGGUGAAGCUAAGCGGUACGGCCUGAACAAAACCUACCCAUUUUCAAGGUUUGACCUCAGAUCAGAUAAGGAUACCCGCUGAACUUAAGCAUAUCAAUAAGCGGAGGAAAAGAAACCAACAGGGAUUGCCUCAGUAACGGCGAGUGAAGCGGCAACAGCUCAAAUUUGAAAUCUGGAGCCUUCGGCUUCCGAGUUGUAAUUUGAAGAGGAUGUUUCGGUGCGACCUGGGCCUAAGUUCCUUGGAACAGGACGUCAUGGAGGGUGAGAAUCCCGUACAUGGCUGCAGGUUUGCUUCUAUGUGAAACUCCUUCGAAGAGUCGAGUUGUUUGGGAAUGCAGCUCAAAAUGGGUGGUAAAUUUCAUCUAAAGCUAAAUAUUGGCGGGAGACCGAUAGCGCACAAGUAGAGUGAUCGAAAGAUGAAAAGCACUUUGAAAAGAGAGUUAAACAGUACGUGAAAUUGUUGAAAGGGAAGCGCUUGCAAUCAGACUCGCCUUCAGUUGAUCAGCCUUCCUUCUGGUUGGUGCACUCUGCUGUUGGCGGGCCAGCAUCAGUUGGGGCGGUGGGACAAAGGCGGCAGGAAUGUGGCUCGCUUCGGUGAGUGUUAUAGCCUGCUGUGUCAUGCCACCAG